CCCUAGGUGGUGUAAACGGUUAACACUCUUGGCUGGUAAUCAAAACUCUGGAGGUUUGAGUCCACCCAGAGGGA
rnacentral:tRNA from 1 species